rnacentral:rRNA from 1 species
UACAGAGGUCUCAAGCGUUGUUCGGAAUCACUGGGCGUAAAGGGCGCGUAGGCGGCCCGCACAAGUCUGCGGUGAAAACCCCCGGCUUAACCGGGGGCCGGCCGUGGAAACUGUCGGGCUAGAGGCCGGGAGAGGGCAGCGGAAUUCCCGGUGUAGCGGUGAAAUGCGUAGAGAUCGGGAGGAACACCGGCGGCGAAGGCGGCUGCCUGGACCGGCCCUGACGCUGAGGCGCGAAAGCUAGGGGAGCAAACAGG